UCCUUGAUUUACCGUAACCGUCCCCUCCCUCUUUUCCCCCUCGAUUUACUGUGAGCCUUGACCAUAAWCAUCCUGUUUUUGAACAGAUGUCCACAGCCCGCCUGUCUGUUCAUCCUCCCCUCUUGACCACGAACAUCCUGUUUUGAACAGAUGUCCACAGCCCGCCUGUCUGUUCACCCUCCCUUCUUGACCACGAACAUCCUGUUUUGAACAGAUGUUAAUCUAUUGCCACCCUCCUUCCAGGGCCCACCUGUCUGUCACACUCCCCUCCCUGAUAACUGUCAGAAGUGUUAAAAGUUUCCAUCAAUGUGAACCAUUGUCCAAUCAGCGGUUAGGGUUAGGCUUUAGACCCCACCCCUCAGCCAAUCAGCUCGUGUUUUAUGCAUUAGAUCCCGCCCCUCCUCGGUGCGUGAUACGCUUAGAAGAACGCGUCUCAUUCUGUCAAUACUUCCAUCAGCGAGACGACACCCGCUGUGUUCCAGACCCGUCAGUACUUGCAUCGGCGAUAAGAAGACCCCACAGCACCAGCAGCAGCGUAAAGUAAAUUUAAAGGGAGAAGAAGAAGACCCGUCGCUGUGUUCCAGCAGCAUUACGCAGCACCAGCAGCAGCGUAAAGUAAAUUUAAAACGAAAAGAAGAAGAAGCCCUGCCGUUGUGUUCCAGCAGCGUUGCGCAUCAGCAACAGAAGCAGAGUUUUUUUUGCAUAAACUAAAUUAACAGAAAAACCACAAUCAUGUCUAAGAGAUGCAGAUCACCGACCGAAAAUGCUGAAGAACAACCGGGGAAAGGAACCAGAAACGCGGCCACGUCGACCGAGUUAGAUAAACAGAAUGCGCGCCUCGAAUCGGAUGCACGAAUUAGUACCUUCACCCCGGUUUCCGUUUAACAACCUGAAGGAGAAGACCUCACAGGAGCUCCCAAAAAAAUAACGUGUUUAUAUUUAGGAGUCAGGUCCCGCCUCCACAUCUUCUUCACAGAGAGUUCUCCCUAGAGAAAUAUGGAUUCACUGCGAGCGUGGGUUAUGUAUUUAAUUUCCACCGGGGUGAGGUAGGUUUUUAUCAGAUUCGCGACAACGAGCAGUUUUCAACCACCACUCCUCUCACCGUUAUUAAAUACGAGGAUUGGCUGGUUCUAACUGCGCUACUACCGCUAGAAGAUUUUCUCCCUAAAACAAGCCCUGACGAGUUCGGAAAAAACAAAAACAAAAACCGCAUUAUUUGGAGCAAUCCCCCCACCAGAUCCGAGCUGUUGCAGAAAAAACUAUUGUAUAAGACUUCCUGGUUAUCCGACACCUAUCAUAACGGUGAAUGGAAAUUGCAGGUGAGCAUUUACGAAAACGACCACCUGCAUCCUAACAAUAUGUUUCAUCUAGACAGCAUUAACAUGGAUUGUGGGGCGUUUCGCACAGUUUUAUCACUUCCUGUGAUUGCGAUGCACGCUAUCCUUCGUGAAUACAAUGCAGCUGCCGAGAUCACGACUCUUUUUCAGACCUGUCGCCAAUGGAACAAUGUCGUGGCGAUUAAAAAACAUUAGAUUUUAACGCGUAAUCUUCCGCACACACACACACACACACACACACACACAC